GAAGCUCAGCCUGCAGACAGGCUGACCCGAGUCCAGUUCUAGCUCUAUGCUUAUGCAACACUAAAAACAAUAAUAGGAAGACUAGUAGAAUACAAAGAGUUAUGCUGAAAAUACUACUCAGUGAGUGAAAGAAAUUCUAAGAAGAUCAAAGCAAUACCAACGGUAGGUCAAGAGGUGUAGUACAAGCAAAUAGAUUAUAAAUAUCAGAGCAUAAUGAAGGAAGCUGGUAGUAGAUAUGCAGCUUUGACCCCCUAGGGAUACCUCGUAUAUAGGAUUCCUUAUGCAUCAACCUGCAAA
rnacentral:lncRNA from 1 species